CAACCCUCAGGCCCGGCCUGGUGUUGGGGCGCUGCGCCUCGCAGCCCCCGAAAGACAGCGGCGGUCCCGUCCCGGCACCGAGCGUAGUAGCACAUCUCGCUAUGGGCGUUCGGGCGGCGGCCGGCCGGAAAAUCGUUUUUCCUUGG
rnacentral:misc_RNA from 1 species